UACGUAGGGUGCAGGCGUUGUCCGGAAUUAUUGGGCGUAAAGAGCUCGUAGGCGGUCUGUCGCGUCGGCUGUGAAAUCCCGAGGCUCAACCUCGGGUCUGCAGUCGAUACGGGCAAACUGGAGUGUUGCAGGGGAGACUGGAAUUCCUGGUGUAGCGGUGAAAUGCGCAGAUAUCAGGAGGAACACCGGUGGCGAAGGCGGGUCUCUGGGCAACAACUGACGCUGAGGAGCGAAAGCGUGGGGAGCGAACAGG
rnacentral:rRNA from 1 species